AUUGAACGCUGGCGGCAUGCUUUACACAUGCAAGUCGAACGGCAGCGGGGACUUCGGUCCGCCGGCGAGUGGCGAACGGGUGAGUAAUGCAUCGGAACGUGCCUAUCAGUGGGGGAUAACGCUUCGAAAGGAGUGCUAAUACCGCAUAUUCUCCGAGGAGGAAAGCAGGGGACCUUCGGGCCUUGCGCUGAUAGAGCGGCCGAUGUCGGAUUAGCUAGUUGGUGAGGUAAAGGCUCACCAAGGCGACGAUCCGUAGCGGGUCUGAGAGGAUGAUCCGCCACACUGGGACUGAGACACGGCCCAGACUCCUACGGGAGGCAGCAGUGGGGAAUUUUGGACAAUGGGCGAAAGCCUGAUCCAGCCAUGCCGCGUGAGUGAAGAAGGCCUUCGGGUUGUAAAGCUCUUUUGUCCGGGAGGAAAUCCUGGCCUCUAAUACAGGUCGGGGAUGACAGUACUGGAAGAAUAAGCACCGGCUAACUACGUGCCAGCCGCCGCGGUAAGAC
rnacentral:rRNA from 1 species